UGCAGCAUGCUAGAAUCAUGUGAAUGACUAAUUUAACUACAUUGAACUACUUUAGUAAUAAUUUAAUCUCUUAUUCUGGACUAAAAUAAAGAAACAAGCUACAUCAUCACAUAUCUGUGGCAUCAAGAAGCAUCUUCUGAGUUCAAACACAGGGAUGGAGCACAAUGUUUACACCUGAACAGUAUCAGGAUGUUUUAACUCACAGAGGUCUGCAGGUCUUCUGUUUUAUGAGCAAAGCGCUGAGAAUCCGCUUGCUAUGAGCGCUAAACGUUAUUUUGCCGCUUCCGUGCGGAGCGGUAGAGAAACACAUUUCAAACACGGAACCGAGUCUGGUUACCGAACCGAACAGAAUUCUGAUGACGUCACACCGGUGCACGAAGGUGCGGGUUCCAACCCACAGGAGAGGAGGUAAACAGCGAGUGGAUCACAGGGACUGAACUGAUGUUUUUGAGCAAAACUGCGGUAAAAAUGGCUGUUUGUCCUCAUUAUCAAAAGUGUAAACCCCGGUUUGGAUGCGGUGCUCAUGCAGGUGUCUCUUUCUGUUCGGACCAAGCCCCCACAAUGCGGCUUCAAAAUUGAAGCCAACCCGGAAGUAAGAAAAAUUGCAGUUCCACAUUCAUCCACUAGGGGCUGGUAUCAGAAGCGAGCAAAUCCUCAUCGACUCCCAUGUUAAAAAUGCCAAUUUCACAGCAGAAAUAAACAUGUUUACAGCCUGGUACCAAAACAUGUUUUUUGUUUAAAUGAUCUAGUUUACACUCAUGACAACUCUGAGGGGGGUGAAUUUUUUUCUCACUCUUCUGUUUAAGUGUAUUAAAAGCCUAAAAUUCUGUAUAAUUAAAGAGCAAGUAACGUCUAAAUUAACUUUUUUUGCUGAUGAACUGUAUAAAUGAGUGUCUAAUAGUGUUUUAAAUGUGUGUAUUCAUUAUUUUAGCAUUUUGGUGCAUUUUCUUUAAAAAAUAAAAAUUCUGCCUAAAUUACACAGAAUAGCGCCACCUUCAGCUUAAAACAUAGAAUUUGAGUCAUUUUGAAUACACUUUAGCCAAUGGCUAAAGAGUAAGAUACUACGUAUACCAGUAGAGUACUACGUAGCAGCUCUGUGUCAAAGUUAUAAAAGCAUCGAGAGUCUCGGCCACGCCUCGUGGCGAGUUGGGAGUUGGAUUUGCAAGCGAGUAUAGGAGGUUAGCCGUAGUUCAGCAUUAGCAUAUAGCAUUAGCAUAUCCUAAUCUUUAGCAUAGCUUUUAGUGUUAUACAUAAUUAUUUAGUGUUAGUUUGGCUGUUGGAUAUUGUAGUCCAGGGAGUGGCCUGGGGUAGCACAUGCCACCCUUGGAAUCUGAUUGGACACCCCAGGUGCCACCACACUAAUUUAUUUUUAAAUAGGCUUUUCAUUGUCCACAAAAGGCUUGGGGGUAAAACAAGAAAGCCUAACCAUUGGUGCCACCCAUGCACAAAGUUGGACCUCACCUGGGCCCCCCCAUUUUAAAAGAUCUGGACACGCCACUGAUUGUAGUUUAGUUAGUGUUUGGCUGUUAGUGUAAUUAGGAAAGUAGUUCAGGUUUAGUGUUCCAUAUCGUGUUAGUAUGGUGAGAAGGUGUAGUGUAGUGUGGUUGCGGUGGCUCUGUGGGGUUGCACUCCUUUCCGCUGGACUUAGAAGUUAGGCGCCAGUGGUUUCGCGCAAUCAGUGUCUGGAAAAUAUUCAGCUCCCGCCUGGUGCUGUAGUUUGCAACCAGCAUUUUACCCGCGAUUCUGCAUGUCUCCGUUUGAAGAGGGAGGCUGUGCCCACCGUGGCUCUUCCGCGAUUUAGAUGCAGCCCACCGACUCUGCUCCCCCACCAUGACGGGCUCCAGUCUGAGGUGAGUAAGCUAAAUAAAAGUUUUAACAUCUUCUAAAGACAAUUCCCUACCUAAAUGCAAAGCUUGAGAGACGUGGUUCACUUAAUUUAGCUAAUAUCAGUCUGCACUGCCUUCGGGCUGAUUUGUCAAGUUCACAAAAUGUGGAACGGGAUGUAAGGUUAGAAUCAGCGGCGAAUCGGAACAUAUCUCGAAGCCCUGGCCGAAAAAAACGGUCCACAUGACUGUCAGGCUCGGAGAAAAUUCGGGUUGUUUUUGUGUCAGUCGGCAAUUCUGCAACAGUGGCUCUAACUAACGCAGCACUAGUUGACAGACAUCAUUACAGCGUGAAAUCCAGUUUGUGACCCGGUUCCGUGAGGAAUUCUGUUCAGGAGGUCGCAUUUCAGGCUCUUCACAUCAUAUGUGACUGACUUUUACGUUAUAAUAACGAUCACACACUAGGAAUGUUAUAAAGCGCCUAUAUAGGACAGUUUCUUUUGUAUAUUAUCUGACUUUAUAAACUCCAACAACAAUGUGCUUCUAUUUUUUUUUUCAGGCUAAAUCUACCCAAGACACUGGCUGUCAGACUGAUUUAGUAGUCUGCAAGAAUGCACUUGUCCAGGCUGACGUGAAGCCUUACCCGUAGCAAAGGUGAACUAUUUUUAAUAAUCUUCUAUGUAAACAUUUUAUUAUCACCUUCUAGUUUUAAUUUGUUUUACAGAUUAUUGUUACACGUGAUUUUAUGCUCUUUUAAACAUUUAUAAAUGUGCUGCUUCUUUGUUUUUACAUAGCCAGCCAGAAUAGAGCUCCCAGCCUCAGUGUGUCUGGUGACACAGGGAUCAUGACGGAAAUUCAUCUUCCAGAAAGUCCCAGUGCAGCGUCCACACCCCUGAAAAGACCAAGAUGUGAGGUGUCUGCUGUUAAUUCCAGCUUCCACCUCAGUGACAGUGCAAGCUUAGUGAACUGUUCAAGGUAAAAAAAAUUUAAACAUUUCAGAAUUUUUAAGAUAUUAACAAUUAAAUAAGUAUGUGAUUACAUCAUGACAUCAUGAAGGAGGCUACUGAUUCUGCCCCUGUGACACUUGGUGGUGACGUGUGAGCUGAUUCACCUGGACACUCAGCAAAAUAUGGACUCUACACCAUGAGGCAGGCACACGUUAAUACUCUAUAAGAGCACAUAAGCCUGGCUGAUCACCUGAUAACUCCUGUCAUCUGGUUGUGACAGCAUGAGGAUGUCCUCACACACCUGUAACCUAUCAGCUCAUCUGGCAGAAUAGAGAGAAGAGACAACACCACAUCUCCUGUUCCUGGAAAGCCUUCAGCCAUCCUUCGAUGACUGAGAACCUCCAUCAGCUCUGUCUCCUGUCUGCCUACAAUUAUAAUAAAUAUUGUGUUUGACAAGUUUUUUGUGCUGCCAAAUAUCUCAUUUUGAUUCCAGUUUUGAUAUUUUAAUGGAUAUUUAUAAAUUACAUUAAUUGAAUUAUCACAUUGUUGCAUGUUUAACUAGCUCUAUUGUGAUGAUUUAAACUAGCACCUCACUGUUAAAAGCUCGUUUUAAUUUCAAGCAUGUUUAAGUAUUUAUGGACAUGAACAAAAACAGGAAAUAUAUAAAUUGAGAUUUAUUAAAUUAAUAUAACAAAUAAGGGGGACAGAGUCAU